GUGUGACUGCCUUUGUGUGUGACUGCCUGUGUGUGUCUGUCUGCCUGUGUAUGUUACUGUCUGUGUGUGACUGUGUGUGUGUGUGACUGUCUGUGUGUGUCUGUCUGUCUGUGUGUGUGACUGUGUGUGUGUGGCUGUCUGCCUGUGUGUGUGUGUGACUGUCUGCCUGUGUGUGUGUGUAGGUGUCUGCCUGUAUGUGUGGAUGUUUGCCU